UACAGAGGUCCCGAGCGUUGUUCGGAUUCACUGGGCGUAAAGGGUGCGCAGGUGGGUUGGCAAGUUUGAUGUGAAAGCCCCGGGCUUAACCCGGGAAUGGCAUUGAAUACUGCUGAUCUGGAGGAUCGGAGGGGGGACUGGAAUUCUUGGUGUAGCAGUGAAAUGCGUAGAUAUCAAGAGGGACACCAGUGGCGAAGGCGGCUCGCUGGACUGCAACUGACGCUGAGGAACGAAAGCUAGGGGAGCAAACAGG
rnacentral:rRNA from 1 species